CAUCGUUGCCCCAACGCCGGCGCCUCACAUCGAGACGCCGGGCGGGGGGCGGAGACUGGCCGCCCGUAAGCACCUUCCUUGCGGUUGGUUGAAAUCCGAGUCCGUGGCGGAGAGCACCACGACAUUUGGUGGUUGAGUGAAACUCUCGGGACCAGUCGUGCGCGUGCCUCUUUGCUUCGUUGUGGAUUCAAAAGACCCACGGGGCGGUUGCCCUCAACGGGACCUCAGGUCAGGCGGGGCUACCCGCUGAGUUUAAGCAUAUCAAUAAGCGGAGGAAAAGAAACUAACAAGGAUUCCCUU
rnacentral:rRNA from 1 species